UACGUAGGGGGCAAGCGUUGUCCGGAUUUAUUGGGCGUAAAGAGCGUGUAGGCGGCUUUACAGGUCCGUUGUGAAAACUCGAGGCUCAACCUCGAGACGCCGGUGGAAACCGUAAGGCUAGAGUCCGGAAGAGGAGAGUGGAAUCCUGGUGUAGCGGUGAAUGACGCAGAUAUCAGGAGGAACACCCGUGGCGAAAGCGGCUCUCUGGGACGGUACUGACGCUGAGGAGCGAAGCGUGGGGGAGCGA
rnacentral:rRNA from 1 species